rnacentral:lncRNA from 1 species
AUCCUUUAUCUUCUCUUGACUUUCUGUCCUUGAAUUUUCUUUUUACAAUCAAACAAACAGAAAAAAGAUUCCUCCCUAACAAAUCUUUUUUUGCUUCACUUUCUCAUCAACCAAAACAGAGCUUUCUUGCUUCUCCUACAUCCAUGGUUGUUUAUAAAAAACUAAACAGCAUUUUUUCUUUUUUAAGAGGACAGAUAGCAUCUUUCUCAAUCUCCCCA